rnacentral:rRNA from 1 species
GUAACGUGAAUUGCAGGACUUGUGAACUUUUUAUUCUUCGAAUGCAAAUCGCGGUGUCAGUUCCGCUGACACCACGCCUGCUUGAGGGUCAGUUGAAUUAAACGCAUCACAGUUGCGCGUUGACUGUGGAUUGUCUGAACAGCGUCCUUGGCGUUGGCAGAUGAAAUUCAGACCCCAGACUGCUUGUGAUGUGCGUACCUUGUUAAAYUUGGUGCAUUGAGCGAAUGGGACUUGUGCCGCAGUUUGCACGUUUUCCGUAACGCCAGCCAGUUUUUGAGGCCGCGCUCAACACCGGUGAGCUUGCAUGGCUUGCUGAUAGCGUCUGUGAAUUGAACAACGGUGUGUGAGUGGCAUGUCAGUGCCGUCAAAACAAAAGACGCACUCUCAGCUCGCAACUGUUACACUCUUCUUUUUGACCUCAAGUCAGACGAGAUUACCCGCUGAACUUAA